rnacentral:rRNA from 1 species
UACGAAGGGGGCUAGCGUUGUUCGGAAUUACUGGGCGUAAAGCGCGCGCAGGCGGUUCUUCACGUCCGGGGGUAAAGCCCAGAGCUCAACUCUGGAAUGGCCUUUGAGACUAGAGAACUAGGGUACGGGAGAGGUGAGUGGAAUUCCGAGUGUAGAGGUGAAAUUCGUAGAUAUUCGGAAGAACACCAGUGGCGAAGGCGGCUCACUGGCCCGUUACCGACGCUCAGGCGCGACAGCGUGGGGAGCAAACAGG